UACGUAGGGGGCAAGCGUUGUCCGGAUUUAUUGGGCGUAAAGAGCGUGUAGGCGGCCACACAGGUCAGCUGUGAAAACUCGAGGCUCAACCUCGAGACGUCGGUUGAAACCGUAUGGCUAGAGUCCGGAAGAGGAGAGUGGAAUUCCCGGUGUAGCGGUGAAAUGCGCAGAUAUCGGGAAGAACACCUAUGGCGAAGGCAGCUCUCUGGGACGGUACUGACGCUGAGACGCGAAAGCGUGGGGAGCAAACAGG
rnacentral:rRNA from 1 species